rnacentral:rRNA from 1 species
GACCAGCGGAGGGAUCAUUACCGAGUUUACAACUCCCAAACCCAAUGUGAACCAUACCAAACUGUUGCCUCGGCGGGGUCACGCCCCGGGUGCGUCGCAGCCCCGGAACCAGGCGCCCGCCGGAGGGACCAACCAAACUCUUUACUGUAGUCCCCUCGCGGACGUUAUUUCUUACAGCUCUGAGCAAAAAAUUCAAAAUGAAUCAAAACUUUCAACAACGGAUCUCUUGGUUCUGGCAUCGAUGAAGAACGCAGCGAAAUGCGAUAAGUAAUGUGAAUUGCAGAAUUCAGUGAAUCAUCGAAUCUUUGAACGCACAUUGCGCCCGCCAGUAUUCUGGCGGGCAUGCCUGUCCGAGCGUCAUUUCAACCCUCGAACCCCUCCGGGGGGUCGGCGUUGGGGAUCGGGAACCCCUCAGACGGGAUCCCGGCCCCGAAAUACAGUGGCGGUCUCGCCGCAGCCUCUCCUGCGCAGUAGUUUGCACAACUCGCACCGGGAGCGCGGCGCGUCCACGUCCGUAAAACACCCAACUUUCUGAAAUGUUGACCUCGGAUCAGGUAGGAAUACCCGCUGAACUUAAGCAUAUCAAUAAGCGGAGGAA